AUAGCCAUCGGAAUCGUUCGACAACAUCCGAGCUCAAGAGCAAAAGGGAGCUAAAUCCGAUAAAGGGAAGGAAAAAGUAGUCGAAUAGCCAUCGAAAUCGUUCGACAACAUCCGAGAUUUUGCUCGUUAGCGAUCGGAUUCGGGAUCAU